UACGUAGGGUGCGAGCGUUGUCCGGAAUUAUUGGGCGUAAAGAGCGUGUAGGCGGCCGUACAGGUCAGCUGUGAAAACUCGAGGCUCAACCUCGAGACGUCGGUUGAAACCGUACGGCUAGAGUCCGGAAGAGGAGAGUGGAAUUCCCGGUGUAGCGGUGAAAUGCGCAGAUAUCGGGAAGAACACCCGUGGCGAAGGCGGCUCUCUGGGACGGUACUGACGCUGAGACGCGAAAGCGUGGGGAGCGAACAGG
rnacentral:rRNA from 1 species